rnacentral:rRNA from 1 species
UUCGUUUUUACUUAAAACUAAAAUUUUAGUUUCACUUUUAAGGUAAUAGCUUCCUUAAAAUUAGGAAAAUUAGUAAUAGUUACUUUAGGGAUAACAGCGUAAUAAUUUUUGGGGAGGCCUUAUUUAUAAGAUUGGUUACGACCUCGAUGUUGAAUUAAAUUUAGCUACAGUGCAAAAGAAGUAGGAAUGGGUUUGUUCAGCCUUUAGAUAUUUACAUGAUCUGAGUUUCAAAACC